UUUAACGGCCGCGGUACCCUAACCGUGCGAAGGUAGCAUAAUCACUUGUUCUUUAAAUAGGGACUAGUAUCAACGGCAUCACGAGGGUUACACUGUCUCCUUUCCUCAAUCAGUGAAACUGAUCUCCCCGUGAAGAAGCGGGGAUAUAACUAUAAGACGAGAAGACCCCAUGGAGCUUUAAGCUCAACAGCACCUCUAUACAAAUAUACCCCCACAACCCACGAGCCCUGUCUGUUAGCUUUAGGUUGGGGUGACCGCGGAGUAUAAUACAACCUCCACGACGAAUAGGCCUAAAACCUUUAUCCAAGAGCCACUGCUCUAAGAAUCAUAAAAUUGACGUAAAAUGAUCCGAUUUUCGAUCAACGAACCAAGUUACCCUGGGGAUAACAGCGCAAUCCAUUUCAAGAGCCCCUAUCGACAAAUGGGUUUACGACCUCGAUGUUGGAUCAGGGUAUCCUAGUGGUGCAGCCGCUACUAAAGGUUCGUUUGUUCAACGAUUAAAACCCUACGUGAUCU
rnacentral:rRNA from 1 species